GACGAACGCUGGCGGCGUGCUUAACACAUGCAAGUCGAGCGGUAAGGCCCUUUCGGGGGUACACGAGCGGCGAACGGGUGAGUAACACGUGGGUGACCUGCCCCGGACACCGGGAUAACCCAGGGAAACCUGAGCUAAUACCGGAUACUCCGGCGCGAUCGCAUGGUCGUGCCGGGAAAGCUCCGACGGUCCGGGAUGGGCCCGCGGCCUAUCAGCUUGUUGGUGGGGUAACGGCCCACCAAGGCGACGACGGGUAGCUGGCUGAGAGGACGGCCAGCCACACUGGGACUGAGACACGGCCCAGACUCCUACGGGAGGCAGCAGGUGGGGGAUCUUGCGCUAAUGCGCGAAAGCGUGACGCAGCGACGCC
rnacentral:rRNA from 1 species